GACGGACCACACAAACGUUAUUCGGAAUUACUGGGCUUAAAGGGUGCGUAGGCUGUGCAGCAAGUUGGGUGUGAAAUCCCUCAGCUUAACUGAGGAGGUGCGCCCAAAACUACUGUGCUUGAGGGAGAUAGAGGUGAGCGGAACUUAGGGUGGAGCGGUGAAAUGCGUUGAUAUCCUAAGGAACACCGGCGGCGAAGGCGGCUCACUGGGUCUCUUCUGACGCUGAUGCACGAAAGCUAGGGUAGCGAACGGG
rnacentral:rRNA from 1 species